rnacentral:ncRNA from 1 species
UAUCUUCAGGGCGGGGUGUAAUUCCCCACCGGCGGUAUAGCCCGCGAGCCGUAAGGCAUGAUUCGGUGUAAUUCCGAAGCCGACAGUAAAGUCUGGAUGAAAGAAGGUA